GAGGUCUUGAUGGUAAGGUAUGCUGAUGAUACUAAGAUAUGUAACAGGGUUGAUGUUCCAGGAGGGAUAAGCCAAAUGGCAAAUGAUUUAGGUAAACUAGAAAAAUGGUCAGAGUUGUGGCAACUGACAUUUAAUGUGGAUAAGCGCAAGAUAAUGCAUCUUGGACGUAAAAACCCAAGGGCAGAGUACAGAAUAUUUGAUAGAGUUCU